UACGGAGGGUGCAAGCGUUGUUCGGAAUCACUGGGCUUAAAGGGUGCGUAGGCGGCUCGGCAAGUUGGGUGUGAAAGCCCUCGGCUCAACCGAGGAAUUGCGCCCAAAACUGCCGGGCUAGAGGGAGACAGAGGUGAGCGGAACUUAGGGUGGAGCGGUGAAAUGCUUUGAUAUCCUAAGGAACACCGGUAGCGAAAGCGGCUCACUGGGUCUUUGCUGACGCUGAGGCACGAAAGCUAGGGGAGCGAACGGG
rnacentral:rRNA from 1 species